CACGUAGGGGGCAAGCGUUGUCCGGAUUUAUUGGGCGUAAAGAGCUCGUAGGCGGUUUCGUAAGUCGGGUGUGAAAACUCUAGGCUCAACCUAGAGACGCCACCCGAUACUGCGAUGACUAGAGUCCGGUAGGGGAGUGUGGAAUUCCUGGUGUAGCGGUGAAAUGCGCAGAUAUCAGGAGGAACACCGGUGGCGAAGGCGGGACUCUGGGCCGAUACUGACGCUGAGGAGCGAAAGCGUGGGGAGCAAACAGG
rnacentral:rRNA from 1 species